rnacentral:lncRNA from 1 species
ACUACUACUACUACUACUACUACUACAACACCGGAAACUACAACUUUGCUGAUACCUUGCAGUUUCGAGUACAUGGGUUGUUAUCUCGAUGACCGAAACAGAAUGUUAAAGGACUUCCGGGAGGAAAGUGAUGUUAUGACUCGGGACUGGUGCUUGGUGAAAUGCAGAGAGGGCAACUAUACAUUUGCUGGUCUGGAGCACUACAAACAUUGCUUCUGUGGCGACUCCUAUGUUGAGUCCGUGUACCCAAAGAAGGCCGAGUCCGAGUGUAACACGCCAUGUACAGGGAAUCCACAACAGAUGUGUGGAGGCGUGUGGAGACUGUCCGUGUUUAUAUGUCGCUGACACAGGUCAAUUGAUGUACAUGGGGAAUAAUUGAGUUAUAAGUGUUUCGUAUUUCCCAUAGGCACAAUAAUUCAACAUAAGUUUAGUACCAUUUUAUUAUCUUCAAACAAGGUUCCAAUAACCCCAGUCCGCUUUCAUUACCCACCAACAAAAACAUUUAAACCCUGUGUUCAAGUUAAAGGCCACUGUCUUAUGCAACUCGCGUUUAUAAUCUUUUUGAGUGUCUUUCUGUGAGGUUGACGAGGUAGAUUAGGGUUGUGCCGAAAAUAGAAAUAAAACUAAACUAAUGUCCAAAAGAAACGAUACCACACAUUUUUCUAAAUAUUUUAUUAUGAAGAGUUAAUUUUCGUCUGAAAAGGUACUUUUGCGUAUCCUACGUUCAAAACCAAACGUAUUCGGUCUAUAAAACCGGGAACAUUUGAUCUAUUGAGAAAAAAGCGUGCAAUUUGCCCAAAUGACGUUCCGUCCCGUAACACGAAAUGCACGUGCAUAUCUUCUGUAUAAAACUGCUGACCCGACACGUUGGGAUCACAGCAACAAAAAGCACACAAAAGAAAUGCCACGUUUGACAGCGAUUGAGAGAGAGAGAGCCGUAGGAAUGUUCUAACAGGGAGCUACGCACCGCGACGUCGCCAGAAGGUUAGGAUGCGCGCGCAUAACCAUCACCAGGUUAAUGCAGCGGUUGCGUCAAACAGGUCGGACAGCAGACAGGCCGAGAACCGGGAGACCACGGGUGACAACGCCUAUUGAAGACCGCCACAUCCGGGUACUUCACCUUCGGAACCGCUUCGUAACGGCGACGUUAACGGCACGGACGGCACUGGGACACGUGAAAAGUCGACAAAGCGUAUACAGGAGACUGCGGGCACAUGGUAUCCGAGCACAUCGCCCCUGACACCUAAACACCGACUCAACAGACGGAUAUGGGCCAGGCGACUUCGACGGUGGCAACGGUUGAACUGGGCACGUGUCAUGUUUUCUGACGAAAGCAGAUUUUGCAUCUUCAGGAACGACGGCCGGCAGCGUGUGUACCGAACUGAGGUGAACGUUUGGCACCGAACUGCAUCCAUCAAGUCAGGCCAUUUGGAGGCGGAGGUUUAAUGGUUUGGGGUGGAAUCUGCGGUGACGUCAAAAUGAGACUAGUCGUUAUUCGAGGAAACCAGAAUGCGCAGCGUUAUCGUGAUGACAUCUUACAACCAGUUGUGGUGCCAUUCAUCCAACAACAGCCUAAUGGUAUCAUUUUCCAGCACGAUAAUGCGAGGCCUCACACGGCAAGGCUGACCCAGAACUUCAUCAUGAUUGAAAAGGAUUGAUUACAAUGAAUUUUUGUACACAUACUGUGAAAACAUUACUCACAAGUCAUAUACCAAUUUGAAAAGUCUGUAUCGUUUAGUUUUUUUGUAAUGUCCUUUCAAACACGUGGUAUCGUUUCUUUUGGACAUUAGUUUAUUUUGAACCUGACUUUAUUCAGGGAAUUUAUGGAAUGAUGACCAACAUGUAUCCCAUUAACUACAUUGUUACUUACUAUGCCUCUUUGUAUGCACCACCCAAAGUUGUAUAAAAAGUGUAUACUUUCUACACCCUUAGCUUUAGGUAUGUCGGUGAUCUAAAAUCGUUGAAUAACGACCAAAUAGCCAAUUCCCUUCCACUGAUUUACCCACCUAAACUAGAUAUAAAGGAGAUUAAUGAAACCACCUGAUCUGUAUCAUAUUUAGAUCUAUGCAUAAAGAUUCAGAACGACUAAAAUAAAACUAUCCACUAGCCUGGAUGACACGAGGGAUGACUUCAACUUUCCAACUUUCCUUUUGGGUCGAGCAAUAUUCCAGCAGCUCCAGCCUUUGGUAUCUGCAUAUCUGUACGGGUGGCCCAGUCUAAGGCGCCGCGAUUCGCUGUGCAGAGUUGCGUCCCUUGGGCACACCAGAAACCUAUGAUUGGGGUUUCGAAUCCCGGUCAAUUAAUGUACAUUGGAAUAAUUGAGCUGAAAGUGUUUAUAUUUCCAAUUAGCACAAUAAUUCAACAUAAGUUUAAUAAAAUUUUAUUAUCUUCAAAAACGUUCCAAUACCCCUAGCCGCUUUUAUUCCCCACCAGAAGAAAAUAUUAAACCCAGUGUUCCAAUUAAAGGCCUCUGUUUAAAAGUUGUUUGAUCGAGGGUGCAACACCCAAGGCCUCAGUAAAGCUUUCAAAAAGUUGUGGAGGACACCUCCUGCGAUUUGACAUGGAAAUUGUACCAUAUAUGCUCCAGUGUUUUUCGGGCGAACAAUUGACUCACCUUCGCCUAGGUUUGUGGCCGGUGCCACCAUUUGGGUAGUAUACGCUCACCUUUUCGCGAACACCUGGUGUCAUUACUAUGUGAGAGUGAUUCUAUAAUUUGUUUACGCAUUUUAUUGACUUUAGAGUCUCGUAAGCCAUACUGGCCGGACAUUGUACAUAUCUACCCGAACUACAUAGCAUUUGUAUGUUGUACGA